UACGUAGGGCGCAAGCGUUGUCCGGAAUUAUUGGGCGUAAAGAGCUCGUAGGCGGCUUUUUGCGUCUGCUGUGAAAACCUAAGGCUCAACCUUGGGCUUGCAGUGGGUACGGGCAGACUAGAGUGCGGUAGGGGUGACUGGAAUUCCUGGUGUAGCGGCGGAACGCGCAGAUAUCAGGAGGAACACCGAUGGCGAAGGCAGGUCACUGGGCCGCAACUGACGCUGAGGAGCGAAAGCAUGGGGAGCGAACAGG
rnacentral:rRNA from 1 species